rnacentral:lncRNA from 1 species
AUGGAUCCCCUCUAUCGUCCCGAAUUCCUCAUCCUCCUGCUGAAGCAGGAAGGACGUUCUCUCGAGGACCAUACCAGACAGUUUUUCCUAUUAGCUAAUGCCACCAGCUACCCGGACGGCGCGCUCUGCACCUUCUACAACACCAGCCUGAACUCCAAAUGCAGAGCGUUGUCGUCCGAAGAUGGUCCUCGAGAGGAUUUCGCCGCAUUCGUGGAGUGGACUCUGGCGAGAAAUGGCUCAUCUCUCACCGUCUGCCCCAUAGAGGACCUCGCCAGCCCCACUCCCGACCCAGAGACCAGCCAGCCACCAUCACGCCGCACGGAGCCAGAGCCCACCGCAGCCGCAGAGCCCGAGCCAUCCACUGACAGGGAACAGGAUCUCGAGAGCGCGACUGACCAGGUGUGUGAGCCGGCAACACCGUGCAUCGUGGGAGUCCUCGUGGAGAUCGAGGGCGUGGAGGAAAGCCCUGCCCACACUCCUGCGACUGAGGGUGAGCUGUAUACAGUCUCUGAAGGUCAUAUGGAGCAAGUUCUGGAUCUGAUGGACUGGUCUAUGGAGGUAAUCCCUAAUUUUCCUGUUUCCCCGCCGGUUUCGUCCAGCCCUGAUUCCCCUGUAUACCCUCUCAGUCUCCCACUCCUACCUCCUCCAGUCAUUUCCUCUGCUCCAUUUCCGCUGGUUCCAUCCAGCCAUGAAUUUUCUUUUUCUCCGCUGGUUCCGCCCAGCCCUGAGUUUUCUGUUUCUCCGCUGGUUACGCCCAGCCCUGAGUUUUCUGUUUCUCCGCUGGUUACGCCCAGCCCUGAGUUUUCUGUUUCUCCGCUGGUUACGCCCAGCCCUGAGUUUUCUGUUUCUCCGCUGGUUACGCCCAGCCCUGAGUUUUCUGUUUCUCCGCUGGUUACGCCCAGCCCUGAGUUUUCUGUUUCUCCGCUGGUUACGCCCAGCCCUGAGUUUUCUGUUUCUCCGCUGGUUACGCCCAGCCCUGAGUUUUCUGUUUCUCCGCUGGUUACGCCCAGCCCUGAGUUUUCUGUUUCUCCGCUGGUUACGCCCAGCCCUGAGUUUUCUGUUUCUCCGCUGGUUCCGCCCAGCCCUGAGUUUCCUGUAUCUCCGCUGGCUCCGCCCAGCUCUGAAUCUUCUGUUUCUCCGCUGGUUCCGCCCAGCCCUGAGUUUUCUGUUUCUCCGCUGGUUCCGCCCAGCUCUGAAUCUUCUGUGUCUCCGCUGGUUCCGCCCAGCUCUGAAUCUUCUGUGUCUCCGCUGGUUCCGCCCAGCUCUGAAUCUUCUGUUUCACCACUGGUUCCGCCCAGCCCUGAAUCUUCUGUGUCUCCUGUAUUCCCUCCCAACCUCCCUCUCCCACCUCCUCCCAAACCUGCUGGUCCCUCUACUCUUUCGCUGGUUCCGUCCAGUCCUGAUCCUCCUGUCCUUCCUCCCAUCCUUCUCCUCUCUCCUCCUCCUAGACCAGCCAGUUCCUCGCCAUCCCUGCUGGUGCCAGUCAGUCCCGCAGCUCACCCUCAGUCCGCGCCAUCGGGGCGCGGUGGUUCGCCGCUGGACUGCCAGUCUCCAGCUCCGCCUUGGCGUGUUAAGGCCCUGUCUCCGCCUCCAGCCUCCGAGCCCUGGACUCCUCCUCGGUCCUUCGACCCAGCGGCUCCGCCUUGGCUCUUAGCUCCCUCGUCUCCACCGUGGCCUGUCAUCCCACCUGCUCCACCGGGCUCCCUCGUCCCUCCGGCUCCACCUUGGUCAGUCGUCGACCAUCCGCCGCCUCGGGACUCCUCUCCUCUGGUUCCACCUCGUCACUCCAUCCCUCCGGCUCUGUCAGGCUCCUCCUUCCCUCCGGUUCCACCUCCAUCCUCGGUCGCUCCGGCUCCACAGCGGGCUGCCAGGACCCCGCCUCCGCCUUGGUCGCCUGAGCCUUCUGCUCCACCUAGGCCCUCCGGAACCUCGUCGUCACCCUGGCUCUGCGGCUGUGCUGCUCCAUCUUGGGCUCCUCACCCACCGGUGCAGUCUCCGCCUGUCGGCCCCCUGGUGUCGUCGACCCUUCCUUCACCAUGGCUCCUCCCGCCGUCGACUCCACCUUGGAUCUCCGUCCUGGCUGGUCUCUGGUGGACCAUCUGGCUCCUCCUGCUCCUGUCUCCUCCCUGGCUCCUCCUUCUGUGGUCCCUGUCUGCUGGCCCCCUCCUGGGAGUCCGUCCUCCACCGGAACCUCCUCCCAAGUUCCCACCCAUGCCUCCCUCUGUUGUUUCUACGGUGCGAGGACGCACCUACCGGGAGGGGGGAGUACUGUCACACACCUGGACUCAUUUAGCUUGUUUUUGCCCGUGA